UACGUAGGGGGCUAGCGUUGUCCGGAAUCAUUGGGCGUAAAGCGCGUGUAGGCGGUCCGGUAAGUCCGCUGUGAAAGUCGGGUGUGAAACCUCCAGGCUCAACCUGGAGACGCCACUCGAUACUUCUAUGACUUGAGUUCGGUAGGGGUAAGCGGAAUUCCUGGUGUAGCGGUGAAAUGCGCAGAUAUCAGGAGGAACACCGACGGCGAAGGCAGCUUACUGAGCCGAUACUGACGCUGAGGAGCGAAAGCGUGGGGAGCGAACAGG
rnacentral:rRNA from 1 species